rnacentral:rRNA from 1 species
GUAUCAAUAAGCGGAGGAAAAGAAACUAACAAGGAUUCCCCUAGUAACUGCGAGUGAAGCGGGAAAAGCUCAAAUUUAAAAUCUGGCGGUCUCCGGCUGUCCGAGUUGUAAUCUAGAGAAGUGUUAUCCGCGCUGGACCGUGUACAAGUCUCCUGGAAUGGAGCGUCAUAGAGGGUGAGAAUCCCGUCUUUGACACGGACUGCCAGGGCUUUGUGAUGCGCUCUCAAAGAGUCGGAUG